AACGAACGCUGGCGGCAGGCUUAACACAUGCAAGUCGAACGCACCGUUCGGGGUGAGUGGCAGACGGGUGAGUAACGCGUGGGAAUCUACCCUUCUCUACGGGAUAGCUCCGGGAAACUGGAAUUAAUACCGCAUACGUCCUGAGGGAGUAAGAGUUCUCGGGGCAGGAUGAGCCCGCGUUGGAUUAGCUAGUUGGUGGGGUAAAGGCCUGCCAAGGCGACGAUCCAUAGCUGGUCUAUGAGGAUGAUCCGCCACAUUGGGACUGCGACACGGCCCAAACUCCGACGCGAGGCAGCAGUGGGGAAUAUUGGACGAGGGGCGCAAGCCUGAUCCAGCCAUGCCGCGUGAGUGAUGAAGGCCCUAGGAUUGUAAAGCUCUUUCAGUGGGGACGAUAGUGACGGUACCCACAGAAGAAGCCCCGGCUAACUACGUG
rnacentral:rRNA from 1 species